rnacentral:miRNA from 1 species
AGUAGUAAGAGAUCAGUUGGAUA